rnacentral:rRNA from 1 species
UUAUAACAUGAGAGUUUGAUCCUGGCUCAGGAUGAACGCUGGCGGCGUGCUUAACACAUGCAAGUCGAACGAAGCACUCUAUUUGAUUUUCUUCGGAGAUGA